rnacentral:rRNA from 1 species
UGGGGAAUAUUGCACAAUGGGCGCAAGCCUGAUGCAGCGACGCCGCGUGAGGGAUGACGGCCUUCGGGUUGUAAACCUCUGUUAGCAGGGAAGAAGAGAAAUUGACGGUACCUGCAGAGAAAGCGCCGGCUAACUACGUGCCAGCAGCCGCGGUAAUACGUAGGGCGCGAGCGUUGUCCGGAAUUAUUGGGCGUAAAGAGCUUGUAGGCGGUUUGUCGCGUCUGCUGUGAAAGGCCGGGGCUUAACCCCGUGUAUUGCAGUGGGUACGGGCAGACUAGAGUGCAGUAGGGGAGACUGGAACUCCUGGUGUAGCGGUGGAAUGCGCAGAUAUCAGGAAGAACACCGAUGGCGAAGGCAGGUCUCUGGGCUGUAACUGACGCUGAGAAGCGAAAGCAUGGGGAGCGAACAGGAUUAGAUACCCUGGUAGUCCAUGCCGUAAACGAUGAUUACUAGGUGUUGGGGGUCGAACCUCAGCGCCCAAGCAAACGCGAUAAGUAAUCCGCCUGGGGAGUACGUACGCAAGUAUG